GAUGAACGCUGUCGGCGUGCCUAAUACAUGCAAGUCGAGCGAACAGACGAGGAGCUUGCUCCUCUGACGUUAGCGGCGGACGGGUGAGUAACACGUGGAUAACCUACCUAUAAGACUGGGAUAACUUCGGGAAACCGGAGCUAAUACCGGAUAAUAUAUUGAACCGCAUGGUUCAAUAGUGAAAGACGGUUUUGCUGUCACUUAUAGAUGGAUCCGCGCCGCAUUAGCUAGUUGGUAAGGUAACGGCUUACCAAGGCAACGAUGCGUAGCCGACCUGAGAGGGUGAUCGGCCACACUGGAACUGAGACACGGUCCAGACUCCUACGGGAGGCAGCAGUAGGGAAUCUUCCGCAAUGGGCGAAAGCCUGACGGAGCAACGCCGCGUGAGUGAUGAAGGUCUUCGGAUCGUAAAACUCUGUUAUUAGGGAAGAACAAAUGUGUAAGUAACUAUGCACGUCUUGACGGUACCUAAUCAGAAAGCAACGGCUAACUACGUG
rnacentral:rRNA from 1 species